AGAACAUUGUGACUAUCUGGGAAACAGAGAACUACUUCCUUUGUAACAUCCACAGGCACAAAUGCCAUACUUGUAGAAGCCUAAUUCCUUUGCUGAAUCAAAUCAGAAGGGCAGAAAAUGGCUCAAGCAAGGAGGCAAAGCCAGAAUGCAAAGUGGGCAUCAGGGAAAGGAGAGGCCAGGCAGCCUGUGGGUCAAAAAGUCUUCUCCGAAGGUGGCUGCAUGUUUUCCACAAGAGUACAGACAAAUUUCUCCAACUUCUUGGCAGCCAGGCGCCCAGCUGCCAGCACCUCUUCAUGAUUGGCUGUCUCCUGGCUUUCAUAAUCCAAUACUGAUUUGUUCGUAAUGAGGGAGAAUCCAAAGACUCGCAUGCCACAAUGCCUGGCCACUAUCACCUCUGGCACAGUACUCAUGCCUGAUGUGGAAAGAGAAAGGGAACUGAUGUCAAGACACCUUUACCUCAGAUCUGUACUGAGCAGCUCAAGCCCAUCUUUCAGCAUUCUCAAGACAGAUCAUAAUGGGGAGGUCAUAGUGGGGUGGAGAAAUGUUAGAAAAACCAAACUACCUGGCAAAACCCCACGAUAUUAAAGGACUGUCUCAACGGA